AACUGAUAGAGUUAUCCAGUAUAAAUAAAGUUAGUUGAGUUUAGAUUUUCUCUUGUAGUAACACUGGAUCAAUAAGAGAUGAUCCUAACUGAACCUCUAGGAAGAACAGUUUAGAACUGAUAGAGUUAUCCAGUAUAAAUAAAGUGAGUUUAGUUUAGGUUUCCUCCUGUAGUAAUACUGGAUCAAUAAGAGAUGAUCCUUACUGGACCUCUAGGAAGAACAGUUUAGAACUGAUAGAGUUAUCCAGUAUAAAUAAAGUUAGUUGAGUUUAGAUUUUCUCUUGUAGUAACACUGGAUCAAUAAGAGAUGAUCCUAACUGAACCUCUAGGAAGAACAGUUUAGAACUGAUAGAGUUAUCCAGUAUAAAUAAAGUGAGUUUAGUUUAGGUUUCCUCCUGUAGUAAUACUGGAUCAAUAAGAG